AUAACCUACCUAUAAGACUGGGAUAACUUCGGGAAACCGGAGCUAAUACCGGAUAAUAUUUUGAACCGCAUGGUUCAAAAGUGAAAGACGGUCUUGCUGUCACUUAUAGAUGGAUCCGCGCUGCAUUAGCUAGUUGGUAAGGUAACGGCUUACCAAGGCAACGAUGCAUAGCCGACCUGAGAGGGUGAUCGGCCACACUGGAACUGAGACACGGUCCAGACUCCUACGGGAGGCAGCAGUAGGGAAUCUUCCGCAAUGGGCGAAAGCCUGACGGAGCAACGCCGCGUGAGUGAUGAAGGUCUUCGGAUCGUAAAACUCUGUUAUUAGGGAAGAACAUAUGUGUAAGUAACUGUGCACAUCUUGACGGUACCUAAUCAGAAAGCCACGGCUAACUACGUGCCAGCAGCCGCGGUAAUACGUAGGUGGCAAGCGUUAUCCGGAAUUAUUGGGCGUAAAGCGCGCGUAGGCGGUUUUUUAAGUCUGAUGUGAAAGCCCACGGCUCAACCGUGGAGGGUCAUUGGAAACUGGAAAACUUGAGUGCAGAAGAGGAAAGUGGAAUUCCAUGUGUAGCGGUGAAAUGCGCAGAGAUAUGGAGGAACACCAGUGGCGAAGGCGACUUUCUGGCCUGUAACUGACGCUGAUGUGCGAAAGCGUGGGGAUCAAACAGGAUUAGAUACCCUGGUAGUCCACGCCGUAAACGAUGAGUGCUAAGUGUUAGGGGGUUUCCGCCCCUUAGUGCUGCAGCUACGCAUUAAGCACUCCGC
rnacentral:rRNA from 1 species